AACGAACGCUGGCGGCAUGCCUAACACAUGCAAGUCGAACGAGACCUUCGGGUCUAGUGGCGCACGGGUGCGUAACGCGUGGGAACCUGCCCUUAGGUUCGGCAUAACUCCCCGAAAGGGGUGCUAAUACCGGAUAAUGUCUUCGGACCAAAGAUUUAUCGCCUUUGGAUGGGCCCGCGUUGGAUUAGCUAGUUGGUAGGGUAAAAGCCUACCAAGGCGACGAUCCAUAGCUGGUCUGAGAGGAUGAUCAGCCACACUGGGACUGAGACACGGCCCAGACUCCUACGGGAGGCAGCAGUGGGGGAUAUUGGACAAUGGGCGAAAGCCUGAUCCAGCAAUGCCGCGUGAGUGAUGAAGGCCUUAGGGUUGUAAAGCUCUUUUACCCGGGAUGAUAAUGACAGUACCGGGAGAAUAAGCUCCGGCUAACUCCGUG
rnacentral:rRNA from 1 species